AUUGAACGCUGGCGGCAUGCCUAACACAUGCAAGUCGAGCGGAUGAAGGGAGCUUGCUCCUGGAUGCAGCGGCGGACGGGUGAGUAAUGCCUAGGAAUCUGCCUGGUAGUUGGGGAUAACGUCCGGAAACGGGCGCUAAUACCGCAUACGUCCUGAUGUAGAAAGUGGGGGUUCUUCGGACCUCACGCUAUUAGAUGAGCCUAGGUCGUAUUAGCUAGUUGGUGGGGUAACGGCUUACCAAGGCGACGAUCCGUAACUGGUCUGAGAGGAUGAUCAGUCACACUGGAACUGAGACACGGUCCAGACUCCUACGGGAGGCAGCAGUGGGGAAUAUUGGACAAUGGGCGAAAGCCUGACCCAGCAACGCCGCGUGUGUGAAGAAGGUCUUCGGAUUGUAAAGCACUUUAAGUUGGGAAGAAGGACAGUAAAUUAAUCCAUUGCUGUUUUGACGUUACCAACAGAAAAAGCACCGGCUAACUUCGUG
rnacentral:rRNA from 1 species